GACGAACGCUGGCGGCGUGCUUAACACAUGCAAGUCGAACGGAAGGGCCCUGCUUUUGUGGGGUUCUCGAUUGGCGAACGGGUGAGUAACACGUGAGUAACCUGCCCUUGACUUUGGGAUAACUUCAGGAAACUGGGGCUAAUACCGGAUAGGAUCUCCUGCUGCAUGGUGGGGGUUGGAAAGUUUCGGCGGUUGUGGAUGGACUCGCGGCUUAUCCGCUUGUUGGUGGGGUAGUGGCUUACCAAGGCUUUGACGGGUAGCCGGCCUGAGAGGGUUACCGGCGACAUUGCGACUGAGAUACGGCGCAGACUCCUACGGGAGGCAGCAGUGGGGAAUAUUGCACAAUGGGCGGAAGCCUGAUGCAGCAACGCCGCGUGCGGGAUGACGGCCUACGGGUUGUAAACCGAUGUCGCCUGUGACGAAGCGAGAGUGACGGUAAUGGGUAAAGAAGCACCGGCUAACUACGUG
rnacentral:rRNA from 1 species